rnacentral:rRNA from 1 species
GCAUAUCAAUAAGCGGAGGAAAAGAAACUAACAAGGAUUCCCCUAGUAACUGCGAGUGAAGCGGGAAAAGCUCAAAUUUAAAAUCUGGCGGUCUUUGGCCGUCCGAGUUGUAAUCUAGAGAAGUAAUGCCCGUGCUGGACCGUGUAUAAGUCUCCUGGGAUGGGGCGUCAUAGAGGGUGAGAAUCCCGUCUUUGACACGGACUACCAGUGCAUUGUGGUAUGCUCUCAAAGAGUCGAGUUGUUUGGGAAUGCAGCUCAAAAUGGGUGGUAAAUUCCAUCUAAAGCUAAAUAUUGGCGAGAGACCGAUAGCGAACAAGUACCGUGAGGGAAAGAUGAAAAGAACUUUGGAAAGAGAGUUAAACAGUACGUGAAAUUGCUGAAAGGGAAACGCUUGAAGUCAGUCGCGUUGGCCAGGGAUCAGCCUUGCUUUUGCAUGGUGUACUUUCUGGUUGACGGGUCAGCAUCAAUUUUGACCGCUGGAAAAGGGCCUGGGGAAUGUGGCAGCUUCGGCUGUGUUAUAGCCCCUGGUCGCAUACAGUGGUUGGGAUUGAGGAACUCAGCACGCCGCAAGGCCGGGUUUCGACCACGUUCGUGCUUAGGAUGCUGGCAUAAUGGCUUUAAGCGACCCGUCUUGAAACACGGACCAAGGAGUCUAACAUGCCUGCGAGUAUUUGGGUGGAAAACCCGAGUGCGCAAUGAAAGUGAAAGUUGAGAUCCCUGUCGUGGGGAGCAUCGACGCCCGGACCAGAACUUUUGGGACGGAUCCGCGGUGGAGCAUGUAUGUUGGGACCCGAAAGAUGGUGAACUAUGCCUGAAUAGGGUGAAGCCAGAGGAAACUCUGGUGGAGGCUCGUAGCGAUUCUGACGUGCAAAUCGAUCGUCAAAUUUGGGUAUAGGGGCGAAAGACUAAUCGAACCAUCUAGUAGCUGGUUCCUGCCGA